rnacentral:rRNA from 1 species
UACGGAGGGGGCUAGGCGUUGUUCGGAAUUACUGGGCGUAAAGCGCACGUAGGCGGCUUUGUAAGUUAGAGGUGAAAGCCCAGGGCUUAACCCUGGAAUUGCCUUUAACGACUGCAUCGCUAGAAUCGUGGAGAGGUGAGUGGAAUUCCGAGUGUAGAGGUGAAAUGCGUAGAGUAUCAGGAGGAACACCGGUGGUGUAGACGGCUCUCGUGGACCGUAACUGACGGCUGAGACACGAAAGCGUGGGUAGCAAACAGG